rnacentral:lncRNA from 1 species
CGUGUCCCUUGUCCUAAGUUAAUGAGUAAACUUUGGUUAGGACGUUUGGCUUGUGAUAUUUCGGUGGCGGACACCCAACGUCUUAUCCUUCACUUAAACUUAAUCCUGCAGACCCAGCACCGGGGCAGGUUAGCCUUUUCUUCUCCAAGCUCACCCGCCCUCGCCCCUAUAAACUACCAAUGGACAUCCUCUGUGUUGGUCACUGGGAAGCACUGAAGGCUCGAAGGUGAUCUUUGAAAUAGCAUGGAGGAUUGCAACGCGUGGACUGCACGUGGGCUGGUGGUCUUGUAUUAUAUAAAGAAAGCAGGCUAGUUGGGGCUGGAGAAAUGACUCAGUGAUUCAGAGCACUGCCUGCUCUUCCAGAGGUCUUGAGUUCAAUUCCCAGCUACCACAUGGUGGCUCACAACCAUCUGUGAUGGGAUCUGAUGUCCUCUCUGGUGUGUGUCUGAAGACAACCAUAGUGUAUUAAUAUACACAAAAUAAAUAAAUAAAUCUAAACCAACAAGCAAACCUGGAUUGAAUCUCUAUCACUGGGAAGGAUGGAGGAAUCAGGGAACUAAACCAGGAGCUUCCUCAUGUGCACCAACUAGUGAGCAGGAGCGUUCUAGUGAGCCUCUCGUUCUUGUUUUUUGUUUUUUUAAUUACAUCUGUAUAUAAUAAUGUAAGACACUCCAAUGUUUUAUGCUUUGGCAUUGUGUUACUAAUAGUGUGGUUUUGUGUGUGUGUGUGUUUGUGUGUUUUGUAGCUCACACAGCAAACUGUAGAUUCUGGCUGGAGAGAUGGCUUAUCAGGGCCUCUCUCUUCUGACGACAUGCCCAGCUGUAUCACAGAGGAGAGUGUUAAGUCAGAACGGCGAUCUCCAUGACGACGGAGGGGAGCGGCUACCAAAAUGACCUUCCAAAGGACGGCCACCUCUGAAUGCUGUGAUACAGUGGUAACAUGGGAAAAUAAAGUCUAGCUAUUAGGAAUGAACUCUGUGAGGAGAAAGGAACCUUUAUUUAGGAAUUGUGUGAGAGAAAAGAGAGGUACAAGGAAAAUACAUUUCGAAGAUCUAACGACCACCACUUAUCUUAUCUCAAGACAAUAUUCAACUCUGUCAAAAUCCUAACAGUAAAGGAAAAAGGUAAACAAGGAAAAGUUCUUUAAAAAAAGAUUUAUUUAUUUUAUGUAUAUGAGUACACUGUAGCUGUACACAUGGUUGUGAGCCUUCAUGUGGUUUUUGGGAAUUGUAUUUAGGAUUUCUGCUUGCUCCCUUCAACUCCGCUCACUCAGUCAACUCCACUCUCUCAGUCCCUGCUCGCUCUGGCC